AGCAGCCGCGGUAAUUCCAGCUCCAAUAGCGUAUAUUAAAGUUGUUGCAGUUAAAAAGCUCGUAGUUAAAUUUCGGGAUCAAUUAAUUGGUCGUGCCUCUGGUACGUACUGAUUUUAUUGGUUUCUCCCUUCUGACGAACCAUGAUGUCAUUAAUUUGGUGUCGUGAAGAAUCAGGACUGUUACUUUGAAAAAUUAGAGUGUUUAAAGCAAGCUAACGCUUGAAUACAUUAGCAUGGAAUAAUGAAAUAGGACGUUUGAUCCUAUUUUGUUGGUUUCUAGGAUCGACGUAAUGAUUAAUAGGGAUAGUUGGGGGCAUUAGUAUUCAAUUGUCAGAGGUGAAAUUCUUGGAUUUAUUGAAGACUAACUACUGCGAAAGCAUUUGCCAAGGAUGUUUUCAUUAAUCAAGAACGAAAGUUAGGGGAUCGAAGACGAUCAGAUACCGUCGUAGUCUUAACCAUAAACUAUGCCGGCUAGGGAUCGGAUAAUGUUAAUUUUUAAUGUACUCAUUCGGCGCCU
rnacentral:rRNA from 1 species